GGCACCAACAAGGCACUGCUCUGAGGAAGCUCACAGCAGUAGAAUCUUAAUUCAAGCUAAACAGGGUCAGUUCUGGUCAGUAUUUAGAUGGCAGACCUCCAAAGAACAUCCCCAGGGUGUUGGUGCUU
rnacentral:rRNA from 1 species